CCUACGGGUGGCAGCAGUGAGGAAUAUUGGUCAAUGGGCGUAAGCCUGAACCAGCCAAGUCGCGUGAGGGAUGAAGGUUCUGUGUAUCGUAAACCUCUUUUAUCAGGGAAUAAAGUGUGGGACGCGUCCUCUUUUGUAUGUACCUUAUGAAUAAGGAUCGGCUAACUCCGUGCCAGCAGCCGCGGUAAUACGGAGGAUCCGAGCGUUAUCCGGAUUUAUUGGGUUUAAAGGGUGCGUAGGCGGCCUUUUAAGUCAGCGGGGAAAGUCUGUGGCUCAACCAUAGAAUUGCCGUUGAAACUGGGAGUCUUGAGUAGGAGUGAGGCAGGCGGAAUGCGUGGUGUAGCGGUGAAAUGCAUAGAUAUCACGCAGAACCCCGAUUGCGAAGGCAGCCUGCCAGGUCAUGACUGACGCUGAUGCACGAAAGCGUGGGGAUCGAACAGGAUUAGAUACCCGAGUAGUC
rnacentral:rRNA from 1 species